rnacentral:rRNA from 1 species
GACGAACGCUGGCGGCGUGCCUCAUACAUGCAAGUGGAGCGACGAACCAGGGCUUGCCCUGGAGCAAAGCCGCGAACGGGUGAGUAACACGUGGGUAACCUGCCCCGAAGACCGGGACAACCCGAGGAAACUCGGGCUAAUACCGGAUGUGCUCGCCGCGCUCAAGCGCAGCGCGUAAAGGAAGCUUCGGCCUCCGCUUUGGGAGGGGCCCGUGGCCCAUUAGCUUGUUGGUGAGGUAACGGCNCACCAAGGCUGCGAUGGGUAGCUGGUCUAAGAGGACGGUCAGCCACACUGGGACUGAGACACGGCCCAGACUCCUACGGGAGGCAGCAGUAGGGAAUCUUGCGCAAUGCGCGAAAGCGUGACGCAGCAACGCCGCGU